AAUCGAUGUACAUAGGGAAAUAAAUCGAAUAACCAUAGUCAAGUGGCUGGCCUCUGCCAACCGUAUUCAAAAAUUUGGGGAGUUCUUCCAAUGGAAAAGAUGGCUUGUCUAAUGUAAAAUCAAAAUUCAAAAGUGAAAUGUCAACUAAAGGUGGGCGAAUAGGAAUUGGAAUAAUAUUUUCUUUGAACAAAAUGUGCUUAUCCAAAGCAUCGGAUUCUGGCCAAGCAGUCAUUCGACGAAUACGAAGACGAUGAUAUCUAAACUCCCUAAUCCGUUUUAUGUUUGAGAUCCAUGAUAAGGAGUCAUACUCCAUUAAUUUCUCCCGAGCUGUAUCUUCAUCUACCGAAACGUUUUUUAGGAACGAAGAAUUAUUUGUAGGACGGCUGCCCAAAAAGUCUUCGAAGCUUCGAUUUAAAUCUUCAAGCUUUCUUUGUUGUGCAUUUGCAUUUUCUGUCGUAUGAUUUGAUGUAUUACUCGAGUUGCUAUCAUUAUCAUCUAUAUCAGAACCGUUUUGGUAAAAUGAAGACGAUUCAGAUGCAGAUUUAGGAGACGGAUCUUUAGCUUUACGAAGUAAAUUUGCUCGCUCUUCAAAGAUGUUCCACCGGUCUAUACGCAUCUGUUGUUCUGUUAAACCAAUGCGGUAAUUCAUUCCUAACCGACAUUCGAACGGAUCAUCGUCAACUUCAAACUUAAAUUUUGUCGACUUGAUUUGGAUGUGAGGGACUACUCUUGGUUGUUUGAUUUCCUCUGCCAAAUCAUGCUGUUGAUCAAUAGUCAAGGGCUCUGCAGAUACUCUAAUCGCUGCUUUAACAGUGUUAAUGGCACUUUCAAUUAAUAUGAAAGGGAUAAACUUAUGAGGAAUCCGGAUAGAGAUAUAACUGCAGGUUACUUGAUGUAGCUUUU